ACACCGCGUGAGUGAAGAAGGGUUUCGGCUCGUAAAGCUCUGUUGUUGGAGAAGAACGUGCGUGAGAGUAACUGUUCACGCAGUGACGGUAUCCAACCAGAAAGUCACGGCUAACUACGUGCCAGCAGCCGCGGUAAUACGUAGGUGGCAAGCGUUAUCCGGAUUUAUUGGGCGUAAAGCGAGCGCAGGCGGUUGCUUAGGUCUGAUGUGAAAGCCUUCGGCUUAACCGAAGAAGUGCAUCGGAAACCGGGCGACUUGAGUGCAGAAGAGGACAGUGGAACUCCAUGUGUAGCGGUGGAAUGCGUAGAUAUAUGGAAGAACACCAGUGGCGAAGGCGGCUGUCUGGUCUGCAACUGACGCUGAGGCUCGAAAGCAUGGGUAGCGAACAGGAUUAGAUACCCUGGUAGUCCAUGCCGUAAACGAUGAGUGCUAGGUGUUGGAGGGUUUCCGCCCUUCAGUGCCGGAGCUAACGCAUUAAGCACUCCGCCUGGGGAGUACGACCGCAAGGUUGAAACUCAAAGGAAUUGACGGGGGCCCGCACAAGCGGUGGAGCAUGUGGUUUAAUUCGAAGCUACGCGA
rnacentral:rRNA from 1 species